UACGAAGGGGGCUAGCGUUGCUCGGAAUCACUGGGCGUAAAGGGUGCGUAGGCGGGUCUUUAAGUCAGGGGUGAAAUCCUGGAGCUCAACUCCAGAACUGCCUUUGAUACUGAAGAUCUUGAGUUCGGGAGAGGUGAGUGGAACUGCGAGUGUAGAGGUGAAAUUCGUAGAUAUUCGCAAGAACAUCGGUGGCGAAGGCGGCCUGCUGGGCAGUUGCUGACGCUGAGGCGCGACAGCGUGGGGAGCAAACAGG
rnacentral:rRNA from 1 species